rnacentral:rRNA from 1 species
UAAGGAAUAUUGGUCAAUGGAGGGAACUCUGAACCAGCCAUGCCGCGUGAAGGAUGACGGCCCUCUGGGUUGUAAACUUCUUUUGGAUGGGGCGAAAAAACGGGAUUUAUCCUGGACUGACGAUACCAUCAGAAUAAGCACCGGCUAACUCCGUGCCAGCAGCCGCGGUAAUACGGAGGGUGCAAGCGUUAUCCGGAAUCACUGGGUUUAAAGAAUGCGUAGGCGGUUGUAUAAGUCAGGGGUGAAAGCACGCAGCUUAACUGUGUAAUUGCCUUUGAUACUGUACGGCUUGAAUAGGGUUGAGGUUGGCGGAAUGUGACAUAGUAGCGGUGAAAUGCAUAGAUAUGUACAUAGAACACCGAUUGCGGAAGCAGCUGACUGGGCCUAUGUUAGCGCUGAGGC